rnacentral:lncRNA from 1 species
UAAGCUAACACACCGACGUUGCUGUGCUUGUGAUAGUAAUAUGUCAGAGAGACAUAACCAUAUAUAGAAAUCCGUUGACGUUGGUAUAAAAACGAAUUCACUGAAACUGCCCUGUCAGUACAUUUCAUACACUUUUUAGGCAUCAUUUGUCCCACUAUAUCACCAGUUAAAAUGUCAAUGUCAUUAAGGAAAUUUAUGUUCUCCAUAAAUCUUGUAUCUUUGGGAUUUUUCUUGCUGAUAUUGUUUCAAUGUAUAGUCACGUUGGCAGAAGCUAAGAAUCCCACGAAAAAGGUUAUCAAGGUUUCUACGUUACAAAUACCUCCCUUUUACAUGGAAGAAAAACAUGAAAGCGGAAGAGAACAGCAUGGCUAUAUAG